AGCGAACGCUGGCGGCAGGCCUAACACAUGCAAGUCGAACGAACUCUUCGGAGUUAGUGGCGGACGGGUGAGUAACACGUGGGAACGUGCCUUUUGGUUCGGAAUAACUCAGGGAAACUUGUGCUAAUGCCGAAUGUGCCCUUCGGGGGAAAGAUUUAUCGCCAUUAGAGCGGCCCGCGUCUGAUUAGCUAGUUGGUGAGGUAACGGCUCACCAAGGCGACGAUCAGUAGCUGGUCUGAGAGGAUGACCAGCCACACUGGGACUGAGACACGGCCCAGACUCCUACGGGAGGCAGCAGUGGGGAAUCUUGCGCAAUGGGCGAAAGCCUGACGCAGCCAUGCCGCGUGAAUGAUGAAGGUCUUAGGAUUGUAAAAUUCUUUCACCGGGGACGAUAAUGACGGUACCCGGAGAAGAAGCCCCGGCUAACUUCGCG
rnacentral:rRNA from 1 species